rnacentral:rRNA from 1 species
AUUAAGGUCCUCUGGAUUGUAAACUUCUUUUAUAUGGGACGAAAAAAGGUCUUUCUAGACCCCUUGACGGUACCAUAUGAAUAAGCACCGGCUAACUCCGUGCCAGCAGCCGCGGUAAUACGGAGGGUGCAAGCGUUAUCCGGAUUCACUGGGUUUAAAGGGUGCGUAGGCGGGUAGGUAAGUCAGUGGUGAAAUCCUGGAGCUCAACUCCAGAACUGCCAUUGAUACUAUCUAUCUUGAAUAUUGUGGAGGUAAGCGGAAUAUGUCAUGUAGCGGUGAAAUGCUUAGAUAUGACAUAGAACACCCAUUGAGAAGGCAGCUUACUACGCAUAUUGACGC